rnacentral:rRNA from 1 species
GUGGGGAAUUUUGGACAAUGGGCGCAAGCCUGAUCCAGCCAUUCCGCGUGCAGGAUGAAGGCCUUCGGGUUGUAAACUGCUUUUGUACGGAACGAAAAGGUUCUCUCUAAUACAGGGGGCUGAUGACGGUACCGUAAGAAUAAGCACCGGCUAACUACGUGCCAGCAGCCGCGGUAAUACGUAGGGUGCAAGCGUUAAUCGGAAUUACUGGGCGUAAAGCGUGCGCAGGCGGUGAUGUAAGACAGAUGUGAAAUCCCCGGGCUCAACCUGGGAACUACAUUUGUGACUGCAUUGCUGGAGUGCGGCAGAGGGGGAUGGAAUUCCGCGUGUAGCAGUGAAAUGCGUAGAUAUGCGGAGGAACACCGAUGGCGAAGGCAAUCCCCUGGGCCUGCACUGACGCUCAUGCACGAAAGCGUGGGGAGCAAACAGGAUUAGAAACCCGGGUAGUCC